rnacentral:lncRNA from 1 species
GCCCACUCCAGGAUGAGAGUACUGAGGUGCCAUAAAAGACCAACAGGCAAGAUGUUGGAGGGUUCAGGAGCUGCCAAGGUUGUGUUCAUGCUGACCUGUUGGCAUAGCGUACAGCAGUGCCAGCUGCUCUGCUAAACCGAGGAGCUGAGAUGCUGUGUUGAUUUCUACAUGUUCCAGGCAAAUACUUCCUGAGGAUUGUCAGGAUUUACAUAAUGGAUUGGCCCUGGGACCACUGAGCCAGCAUCUAUCUUUGACAG